rnacentral:lncRNA from 1 species
GGAAUGAGAGCUUUGCACGAGGGAGAUACAUUCCUUAAUUUAUAAUAAUUUCUAAUACUUUGUAACAGCAAAUUUAAAUAACACAAAAAAUCCGUAUUUCAUGUACCUUAUUGAGUUGUGCUUUUUUGUUGUAAUUCAGAGGUGCUUUUCAUUUUCAUGUUGGUUGAAACAUCCUCACACCAUUCAAUUAUUUUCAGAUGUAUUUUACAGGUAUACAUAUACAUAUAUGUAUAUAUAGACAAAUAGCUAAUGACAUAGAUAAAUGAAAAUUAGAUGAAAAUGAAAAUUAUAUGAUAUUCAGGAGUAAGCCAAUUUGACAAGUGAAGUGCCUCAGGGGAUAAUGCAAUUACUAGCUUACCUGUACGAAGGUAGGUAUUUCACUUCGUUGUCGGAACGUUGGAAAAUGAAAUUGUUUGUUUAGUUCGGGCGGUGUAAAUGUACUUCCUCUAAACUCAUACAUUUAUAGUUCGAGGUAAUGAACACAUUAAGGAUGUCAAGGUCUUGUAGUGUCAUUCGUGUUUCCUCGAUUGCUUUUUCUUCUGACAUUUGUUUCAGUUUCUUCGCUAGUGUCAGUACCUAGGAUUGUGCCAUGUGAUCAGCGCUAACCUAUUCAUAGCAGGUUGCAAAUGUGAUUAUAAAAAUACACCCACUCGUAUCAGCUAAAUUGCAGCUUAAACUUUUUUAUUCAAACUUUAGAUUAAACUAUUCUGUGCAUGCGUUUCUAUCUUAUCACGAAUGAGUUACACAACUGCACCAUACAAAGCAUAACACGACAUAUCAGUGAAGCCAUCUUGAACGCAUUUAAAACAACAAUAGUCCACGAAUAUAAACUAUUUAUAAACUAUAUAUGUAUUUUUAUAUGCAUUUGUCUGAUUUGUUUUAAACUAGAAAUUGUAAUGCCAAAUCUUCUUUAUAUAUAUAAUCAAGGAGAAAACUCGAAAACAAAAUUCCAGAAGAAAACCA